UACGUAGGCAGCAAGCGUUGUUCGGAGUUACUGGGCGUAAAGGGUGCGUAGGCGGCCCUGUAAGUAUGGUGUGAAAUCUCCCGGCUUAACUGGGAGGGUGCGCUAUAGACUGCGGGGCUCGAGUGUGGCAGAGGGGGGUGGAAUUCCGCGUGUAGCAGUGAAAUGCGUAGAGAUGCGGAGGAACACCGAUGGCGAGGCAGCCCCCUGGGCUGACACUGACGCUCAGGCACGAAAGCGUGGGGAGCAAACAGG
rnacentral:rRNA from 1 species